rnacentral:rRNA from 1 species
UACGUAGGGUGCGAGCGUUGUCCGGAAUUAUUGGGCGUAAAGAGCUCGUAGGCGGUGUGUCACGUCGGCCGUGAAAACCUGCAGCUUAACUGUGGGCGUGCGGUCGAUACGGGCAUCACUGGAGUUUGGCAGGGGAGGACUGGAAUUCCUGGUGUAGCGGUGAAAUGCGCAGAUAUCAGGAGGAACACCGGUGGCGAAGGCGGGUCUCUGGGCCGAUACUGACGCUGAGGAGCGAAAGCGUGGGGGAGCGAACAGG